rnacentral:lncRNA from 1 species
AAUUUUGCCCCUCAGAGUGGUUUGUACAUCACUACCCAAGAGGACAUCAUACUACAAAUCCUGCCAGAAUGAACUGGAAGGUGAGUGUGGCAUUUAUAGCUUGAGAAUGAACAGGUUGUUUGGUGCCAAGUUUGUGCUAAUGGAGAUGUCCUCUAUGUGUUAACACCCAAAGGAGAACAAAUUCAACAACAAAACCUUUUAGUUUUUGGCAUGUCUAUGGAGAGUUAACUUUCCAUUGUUCAAGGGUUAAUUAUCCAUUAUGUGAAUCACUUCUCUUUCUCCCUCUGGCUGCUUACAUCUAGGAAUUCAGUUUACUACAGGAUAAAUAGGAAAAAUAAAAAGAGAUGGAAAUAAAACUAGUACAUUUCAUUUAUAAAUAUUAGAAGCUCUAGAAAAGAACUUAGUGGAAGAGACAGAAUUAGAUGUAGUUUGGGGACUGCCAAGUUGAUUGACCAUUGAUAACAAAUGUAACUAAAUUUUACAAAAGAGUUUGGCUUCUUUUAAUUAUCUUUUAUUAGGGUCAGUUUUGUAGCAGAUGAAGUUAGUCUCUGGAUAGUAUUCAUGUCAAUAGGGUACUUUUAUUUAUUUAUUUAUUUAUUUAGUCUUUCGUCUUUUUAGGGCCACGCCUGCGGCAUAUGGAGGUUCCCAGGCUAGGGAUCUAAUCAGAGCUGUUGCUGCCGGCCUAUGCCAGAGCCACAGCAACACCAGAUAUGAGCCGCAUCUGACAUCUACACCACAACUCAAGGGAACGCCGGAUCCUGAACUCACUGAGUGAGGCCAGAGAUUGAACCUGCAACCUCAUGAUUCCUAGUCAAAUUCAUUUCCACUGCACCACGAUGGGAACUCCCAGUAGGGAACUUUUAGGGUGCUGGAAUGGGUUUCUCUCCUCUGAUGGGUCUAGAGCACCAAAGUGCUUAGUGGGCCCCAGCUUACUGACUGAGAAAGUAUUAAGAGAGCCUAUCAAUUUCUUUACUCAUCUAUGAGAAACAACUGCACUUCGCUAUUAUCGGUUAUUAUUUGCCUAAAACCAGGGAUUUAAUUAGUGCUUUCUAAGAUAGUAGAAAGGGUUUGGCUGUCUGUCUUCUUGCCCCUCUCUGCAUUGUGCUGUUUGCCCCCCAUCUCCCUCCUGUCUAGUUCACUGGCAUUCAAAGCCAGUCUCCAUGCCUUUCCACAUCUGACACCAGCCUGAGCCCCUCAGAUGUUGAGUUUGAGGAAAGGAAGAACCACUGACUGACCACAAGAAAGUAUUAACAAGCUGGAGAAGCCUUCGGUGAAUAGGACACAUUACAGAAGAGCCUGGGACUUUCAGACUGCAAUGAGCAGACCAACCUGGGUAUUUUGCCACCCUCAUGAAUCCUAGAAAAUGAAUGGGACCACUGCAAGCUCAAGGCUACAUCUCCCACCAGACAUGGAUAUUGGGUAUUGUGGAGAUUAGAAAAACUACCUCAGCAAAUGACUGGAGAUCCUGUCAGUUAGUUGGAAGAAAAAAUAUGGGAGUUUAAAGGAUUCAGAUUUAGGAGAAUCUAUUGAUUUGUUUUCUGGUAGUAUUUCUUCCUUAUGAUAAACAAGACAUAUUCAAUGUCAAUGCAUUGACAUAUAAAUAUCCAUCUAUCCAUUCAUUCAUUUAUUACUUAUUCAUCGAUCCUCCAUUCAGAUUAAGGCAAUUCAACAUUGGUUAGAAGGGAGAUAAAUAAACAUAAAAUGUAGUACCUGCCCUCUAACCACAUAUAGUUUUAUACAUAAAAAACUCUUCAAUACAAAGCAAUACAUGAUGCUCCAAAUGAAAGCUAUAGAUUUUUAAAAUGCUAUUAAUGUCAGAAGGGGAAGUUCAUUUUUAGUUUGGGUUAUGAUGGAAAGCUUCAAAGAAAAAAGUGUGACUUAACAAGAUAUGUUUUGGCUGGGUAUCAUGACAAGGUAUCUGGAAAAUUAUAGCUGCUGAUGCUGAUAUGUAAAUACAGCAUCAAAGUAUUUAAUGUUCACCUAAAUAGUCAAGAAACUAGAAUAAACUGGAUCAUUUGUACAUAAAUUUAUUCUUACAAAAUAAAGAGAAUUAUUAAACAUAUUCUCAAUGUUCAGAUAAUUAACAGCAGUUUAAUUUCUUUCUACUUAAUUUUAAACUACUUUAUACAUAUAGCAAUUAAUAUUUUGAGAUUGUGCAUAACAGAAUUUAGGUUCAUAAUCUAACAUGUAUAUCUGAUGAAUGAUAAUAACCAAUCUUACCAGCUAACCAAUUCUUACCUUUUGCAGAUACUGUUCGUAAAUAUUUGUGUAAAAUUUCUGUGUUGUCAGUGUGAUAAAAUGUCAACUACAUUUCACUUAUGGUCAAUUUGAAAAACAUUUGACUGAAUUCAAAGGCAAGUAAGCCUAGCUAUUAUCUGGUCAUUUUUUAAAAAAAAUUCCUUUAAUUAAUUUUUUUAAUUUAAAUUUUACUGCACUAUAGUUGACUUACAAAGUUGUGUUAACUUCAGGUGCACAGCAAAGUAAAUCAGUAUAUAUAUACACACACACACACAUAUACACAUACGCAUUCCUUUUCAGAUUCUUUUCCCAUAGAAAUGAAUCAAUAUCUUUUUCCUAACUUUUAAAAAUAUAUAUCUUUUCAAAGGAAUCACAUAGAUAUCAAAAUGCAUGUUUAUAUAAAUAAGGAACAAUGAUUUCUUAUUGGGCAGUCAUAAUUCUGUACUUAACGUCAUUUAUGUCUAAUUGCAACUGCUUAAUUAAAUUAAUAUAACAUGUAGUAAGUUCUUAUAGUUAAAAUGUGCAUGUAAGGAAAUAUACAUUUUAUAACAUACAUCCUCUGAAAUAAAAUUAAAAAUGGAGAGGUGAGCCCUAGAAAAUUGAAUUAUUGAUAGUCUACUAUGAAAGUUUAUAAUACAGGUAUUGAAAAAAGUCAGGUAAUAUUAAUAUAACCAUUUAAAUGGAAAGAAAUACAUCCUUAUCUUGCAUUUCUAGCAAAGGUGUACUGAUUAAGUUCUGACCUAAAUACUUAAACUGAGCCAUGGAAUUCUUCCACAGUGAUGUGAAACUCCAGAUCUUGGCAACAAUAAAAAAAAAAAUUCUCUGGAUGGUUACAUUUUUAAAAUGUUGUCUCUUGAGAUAUACUCUUAGAUAUUUGUGUUUCCCUAUUUUCUGCUUAAAGUUGCUCAUAAGAUUUUACAUACAUGCACAGAAGAGUCUAGUAAUAGAGCAUUUUCUCAGUGUUAGAGAUCCAGGUUGCCUUUAAUGUAGUCCUAACAGGCAGCAUCCCUGCCAGAGAUUAACGGCCAAUUCUCCCAGGAGUCUGUGCAGUCUGAGUAUUAACUGAAGAAGGCACAACCUCAUGUAGGUCUUGGUGGGAAUGGGGUAAAAGCCAGUUACAUCUGUUAUAUCAUACUUUUAAAAAGUUUAAUACUAUUUUCCCAUUCUACUUCUUUCUUUAGAAAACAGGAGAACUAAUGGAAAAUCCCCAAGAAACAUUAUAUGUGUGAGCCGCAUGGUCAUAACUAACAUGGCCUAACUGAAGUAGGCAAGUUUUUCAUUAUAUACCAUUAAACUUUCAGCAAACUUGUCCUAAUAAAACUUUGGGAUUACUUCCUUUCACAAUGACAGCUCAGGAAUUUGAUGUCCCUCUAUAGGAAUGAUAGGAACUUUAGGAAUUGUGAAAGGAAGCUCUUUGUUCUAGAGCUCACUGACAGACCUACAGCAGGGGUUUCCUCUCCAUAGGGAACAUAGGAAUAUAUGAGCAUGUCUGAGUUCUAUGCUUAAGAAUCUGAAUUGCCCAGAGUAGCAAACAAAAUUCCAAAGCAAAGUACCAAUGUAUAUGUUGAAUGACUGCACCAGCUUGGACAAGAGUACACAUAACAGGCACACAUAAUACACAUCUGGUUAAAUGUAAAAUCAACUAUUGCUAAAGCAUUUUCAACUUUUAGGAGGAAUCUACUGGCAAUGUGUUAAUAGCAAGGAAAACUAAAACAAUAAAAUAGCAUCUCUUUCCAAAUAUUUAAGAACAUCGAGUAAGUGCCCCUUAGGCUGGGUUGUGGUUCUUGGAAGUUUUAGCCUAUGAGAACCAUAUUGGGGACAUCAAAGACUCCUCCCUCUCUCCAAAGAGCAAUUCACUUCAGAUGCUGCCACACAGUCAAAUGCUUUUAUGGCCACCAUGUUUUUUUGGUUAUUGUUUUUUCCACUCUUAAUAUUUUGGAACACGCUGGAUUCUUGAAAUUGGAAAGAAAACAAGAAAACACAGUGAGAUCAAAUACCUCUGAAAGAGCAACUAAGAAGGGACCUGAUGGUAAAAGACAAAUACACAUUCCAACUGAAAUUCCACUUCCAGGGAGAGUGUGAGUAAUCAACAAGGACAUGGAAGGCACGUACUGGCACCAAAAGCUGGUCUGUUGACUUCUGUCCUAAUCUCCUAUCAGACAGGAUGCAACCACCCCCAUUCCAUUCCUUCGACAACUUCCCAAGCUCACUCAAUCAGAGUCUCUUACAUUGAGGACGAUACUAUAUUUGGGUUUAAUGCUGUGAGGACAAUCAUCUAGUUUUCCUAUGUCAGGAUGAUAAAUUUCCCUGGAACCAAAUAAGGAUUCUCCUUGCAUUCUUCUGUUCGAUACCAUGAAUGCAGAAGAAUAAAGAAGAGGGUGUGACAAACAAUAUUUUCCAAAGGUUGGGUGAGGGGAGUUUCCCCAACAUUUAAAAACAACCAGUUUUUAGCAAAGUGAUCUUGAGAGGAACAGCAUUACUAUUCUUUUGCUACGCAUUCACUUUUUUUUCUUGCUUAGCUGGGUACGUUAAGUAUUCGGAGCAUAAUGUAAAUGCUCAGAAUAGAGAGACAUGAAAAGUUGGUAGAGAGAAACUCAAAUGAACGAUGAAUCCCACUUUCACUUCCCCCUCCUACCACCCCGAGCACUACCUCCCAGCCCCACUCACCUAUCGUCCUCCUCCCACAAGCAUGUUUGCUAGGCACAUCAAGGCUGACAUCCAUCGGUGGCAGCAUGAAACCUAUGCCUGCAGGCUCCUCCUGACCACAGACUCAAGGCUCAGCCAUUGUCCAUAGAGUGCCCUCAGCCGUGCGCAGGAAAAUCUUCAUCAGGCCGUUGAAUUGUUUUGGUAGAUUUUUUUUUAAAUUGCAUUUUUUUUUCUUUUUAAAAAAACACUCAUUAUUUCCUGACUGCCUCAGAAACACCAAGAAUAGAAUCCUUGACACAUCAAAUUCUGGAACCUCACCACUCACCAGGACUGUGGUUCCUGAUCCAAGGAGUGUCGACUGAGAAUCAGCACAGUCUCUUGAGAGUGUCCAGGCCUGGCUGCUAAGCUCCCUGCUCUGAUUAGUUUGUCAAGUUCACAGUGUUCCAGGGUGCUGAAGCACAGAAAUUAGGGAGGGGAGGUGGAAGGAAAAUCACUGGAGCCUCUUACGAUCUAACUUCCACUAACUGAGAGGAAAUGUCUUAUAAAUAAACAACAGCAAG